rnacentral:rRNA from 1 species
GACGUACGCUGGCGGCGUGCUUAACACAUGCAAGUCGAACGGAAAGGCCCUGCUUUUGUGGGGUGCUCGAGUGGCGAACGGGUGAGUAACACGUGAGUAACCUGCCCUUGACUUUGGGAUAACUUCAGGAAACUGGGGCUAAUACCGGAUAGGAGCUCCUGCUGCAUGGUGGGGGUUGGAAAGUGUCGGCGGUUGGGGAUGGACUCGCGGCUUAUCAGCUUGUUGGUGGGGUAGUGGCUUACCAAGGCUUUGACGGGUAGCCGGCCUGAGAGGGUGACCGGCCACAUUGGGACUGAGAUACGGCCCAGACUCCUACGGGAGGCAGCAGUGGGGAAUAUUGCACAAUGGGCGGAAGCCUGAUGCAGCAACGCCGCGUGCGGGAUGACGGCCUUCGGGUUGUAAACCGCUUUCGCCUGUGACGAAGCGUGAGUGACGGUAAUGGGUAAAGAAGCACCGGCUAACUACGUG